rnacentral:rRNA from 1 species
UACGUAGGGGGCAAGCGUUGUCCGGAUUUAUUGGGCGUAAAGAGCGUGUAGGCGGCUAUACAGGUCCGUUGUGAAAACUCGAGGCUCAACCUCGAGACGUCGGUUGAAACCACCUGGCUAGAGUCCGGAAGAGGAGAGUGGAAUUCCCGGUGUAGCGGUGAAAUGCGCAGAUAUCGGGAAGAACACCCGUGGCGAAGGCGGCUCUCUGGGACGGUACUGACGCUGAGACGCGAAAGCGUGGGGAGCGAACAGG